AACGAACGCUGGCGGCAGGCCUAACACAUGCAAGUCGAACGCAUCGCAAGAUGAGUGGCGCACGGGUUAGUAACACGUGGGAAUGUACCCUUUGGUUCGGAAUAACGUUUGGAAACGAACGCUAAUACCGGAUGAGCUCUACGGGGGAAAGAUUUAUCGCCAAAGGAGCAGCCCGCGUCGGAUUAGCUAGUGGGUGGGGUAAAGGUCUAACAAGGCGACGAUCAGUAGCUGGUCUGAGAGGAUGAUCAGGCACACUGGGACUGAGACACGGCCCAGACUCCUACGGGAGGCAGCAGUGGGGAAUAUUGGACAAUGGGGGGAAGCCUGAUCCAGCAAUGCCGCGUGAAUGAAGAAGGCCUUCGGGUUGUAAAGGUCUUUCGCCUGUGACGAUAAUGACGGUAGCAGGAAAAGAAGUCCCGGCUAACUCCGUGCCAGCCGCCGCAGUAACAC
rnacentral:rRNA from 1 species